GCCAGCAGCCAUAUCAGUCUGCAACUCACAACUGGCAGCCCACUGAAGCUCAGCAGGUGUGAGCCUGGCCAGUACCUGAAUGAGAGACCUCCUGGGAAAAACUAAGGUUGCUGCUGGAA
rnacentral:rRNA from 1 species